rnacentral:rRNA from 1 species
GGGCCCGCACAAGCGGUGGAGCAUGUGGUUUAAUUCGACGCAACGCGAAGAACCUUACCUGGGCUCGAACGGCUGAUCAACGACUGUGGAAACAUGGUUACUCCGCAAGGGGGUUCAGUCGAGGUGCUGCAUGGCUGUCGUCAGCUCGUGUCGUGAGAUGUUGGGUUAAGUCCCGCAACGAGCGCAACCCUUGCCCUGUUUUGCCAUCAUUCAGUUGGGAACUAUCAGGGGACCGCCAGCGAUAAGUUGGAGGAAGGUGGGGAUGACGUCAAGUCAGCAUGGCCUUUAUGUCCAGGGCUACACACGUGCUACAAUGGCCGGUACAAUACGACGCUAACCCGCGAGGGGGAGCAAAUCGGAAAAAACCGGUCUCAGUUCGGAUCGCAGGCUGCAACUCGCCUGCGUGAAGCUGGAAUCGCUAGUAAUGCCGGAUCAGCAUGCCGGCGUGAAUACGUUCCCGGGCCUUGUACACACCGCCCGUCACAUCACGAAAGUGGGUUGUACUAGAAGUCCGUAUGCUAACCCGCAAGGGAGGCAGCGGCCCAAGGUGUGACUCAUGAUUGGGGUGAAGUCGUAACAAGGUAGCCGUAGGAGAACCUGCGGCU